UUUUUCUUUUUUUUUUUUUUUAACAGAUGAAAAAACGAAGACCCAAAAGAAAGAGUCUUGUUUAUAAGUUGCAUCCACUGCAGAACCUGGGUGUGUUGAUGUGCUAUGGUGUGUCCCAUCCAACACCCAGUAAGUAAUGUAACCACUUUCUCUCCCCUAAAAUGCCUCUCCCUGACUUCUCUGUGAUUCUACAUCCUGAAUGCAAAUUAUUUCCUGCUGUCAUUUUGACCAUGUUAAUCCUUAACACUAAAUCCCCAAAAGCUUCCUGAAUUAAAUUUAAAUUCCUUCCAUAAAUUUUAUUUCCUAUUGACAGACUUGCUCCAACCACAUCUCUAAACUUCAGGUACCAAGUCAUUAUCAGCUUGCUGCCCAACUUCUCCACAUUCCCUCUUCCUAUCAAGUUUAAUUUCUGAGUGAAGCUCCCAGGUAAACACAAAUGGCUAUCAUCUCAUUGUUUUCUAUUGUGUUUCAUUAUCUCCUUUAUUAUUUUCCCAAUUUCCUUCUGUGUUUUCGGUCUUCCUCAUAACUGAAUUUAUUUUCAUUUGUUAUGUAUCCUUUCCAGGCCUCAUCACUGUAUCUCUUUCCAUUUCAGACUUAUUUUGCUGGAACUCUUCAAACUAUAGUUGAUUUCUUAGUUAUUCCAAAUCCUUUAUAAUAAAAUGAAUGUUCUAUAUUCAUCAAGUUCAAAACCACAUUUUCCACUGGCUACUGCUUUCAAUGGUACAGUAAUAGCUACUACACAAAACUAAAGGAACAAAAAGAAGAACCAAUGAUGCAACACUGCAAUAUUCUACCCAUUCCAUAGCCAUGACUUUUGCACAUAAUACUUUAUAUAUAAACUUCAAGAAAAAAAUAAAUAAAAAGUCCUGUUUCUGAAUGGAAAUUCUACUCUUGCUAGCCUAACAGUGGUCCCAUUUAGGGCAGGAAGUUAGAAAUUCAUUUUAUUGUAAUGUUUUUGUUUUCCAAUUUGUAGAACUAUUUCCACACUACAAUUAGAGGAAAACAUAUUCUUUACACAAAAUCAAUAUUUUAUUUUUAAAAGGCAAUGUAUCAACCAUGCAAUAGAUUCUUCUGCACUGUCAUUCAAAAAGAAUGCUUAACAUGUUUACCAAAAGUAUGAAAUUCAACCUGUAGAGGUUUCUUGUUUGGUAUGCAUAAAAUAAGCAGACCUCUUCUUUGGCUGACCAAGACCACAUACAUCAUGAAACACACUAGGCCUAACCACCCAACACAUCCAUCCCCGGAACACACUUGCUAAUUUCUUUCCCAACAACAUUUUUACCCAAGUUUCAGCCAGAAUCCCUAGACCAGUCAACAACAUCUCUGUUGCUUCUCCUUAUCUUUGAGCACAGCCCCAAGGGAAAUCAUCUUUAGGUACCAAUCAUUUCUCCCACAUUCAUCUUCCUACUAAUCUUCCCUUCCCUAGUUCCUCCUGAUUCCCCCACAGCCAAUCCCUCUCCAGUCCUUGUCUCUGGGCUCCCUAGAAACCCUCCU
rnacentral:lncRNA from 1 species